AUUGAACGCUGGCGGCAGGCCUAACACAUGCAAGUCGAACGGUAACAGGAAGCAGCUUGCUGCUUCGCUGACGAGUGGCGGACGGGUGAGUAAUGUCUGGGAAGCUGCCUGAUGGAGGGGGAUAACUACUGGAAACGGUAGCUAAUACCGCAUAAUGUCGCAAGACCAAAGAGGGGGACCUUCGGGCCUCUUGCCGUCGGAUGUGCCCAGAUGGGAUUAGCUUGUUGGUGGGGUAACGGCUCACCAAGGCGACGAUCCCUAGCUGGUCUGAGAGGAUGACCAGCCACACUGGAACUGAGACACGGUCCAGACUCCUACGGGAGGCAGCAGUGGGGAAUAUUGCACAAUGGGCGCAAGCCUGAUGCAGCCAUGCCGCGUGUAUGAAGAAGGCCUUCGGGUUGUAAAGUACUUUCAGCGGGGAGGAGGGGAGUAAAGUUAAUACCUUUGCUCAUUGACGUUACCCGCAGAAGAAGCACCGGCUAACUCCGUG
rnacentral:rRNA from 1 species